rnacentral:rRNA from 1 species
AUUGAACGCUGGCGGCAUGCUUUACACAUGCAAGUCGAACGGUAACAGGGAGCUUGCUCCGCUGACGAGUGGCGAACGGGUGAGUAAUGCAUCGGAACGUACCCAGUCGUGGGGGAUAACGUAGCGAAAGUUACGCUAAUACCGCAUACGUCCUGAGGGAGAAAGCGGGGGACCGAAAGGCCUCGCGCGAUUGGAGCGGCCGAUGUCGGAUUAGCUAGUUGGUAGGGUAAAGGCCUACCAAGGCGACGAUCCGUAGCGGGUCUGAGAGGAUGAUCCGCCACACUGGGACUGAGACACGGCCCAGACUCCUACGGGAGGCAGCAGUGGGGAAUUUUGGACAAUGGGCGCAAGCCUGAUCCAGCCAUGCCGCGUGAGUGAAGAAGGCCUCGGUUGUAAGACGUCUUUCUAGGUGGAAGAAAGACGGCAUGGGUCGAAGUACCCUACGUGUGGAGUGACGGUACCGAUCAGAAGAAGACACCGGC